ACGAACGCUGGCGGCGUGCUUAACACAUGCAAGUCGAACGGAAAGGCCCUGCUUUUGUGGGGUGCUCGAGUGGCGAACGGGUGAGUAACACGUGAGUAACCUGCCCUUGACUUUGGGAUAACUUCAGGAAACUGGGGCUAAUACCGGAUAGGAGCUCCUGCUGCAUGGUGGGGGUUGGAAAGUUUCGGCUGUUGGGGAUGGACUCGCGGCUUAUCAGCUUGUUGGUGGGGUAGUGGCUUACCAAGGCUUUGACGGGUAGCCGGCCUGAGAGGGUGACCGGCCACAUUGGGACUGAGAUAAGGCCCAGCCUCCUACGGGAGGGAGCAGUGAGGAAUAUUGCACAAUGGGCGGAAGCCUGAUGCAGCAACGCCGCGUGCGGGAUGACGGCCUUCGGGUUGUAAACCGCUUUCGCCUGUGACGAAGCGUGAGUGACGGUAAUGGGUAAAGAAGCACCGGCUAACUACGUG
rnacentral:rRNA from 1 species